rnacentral:rRNA from 1 species
AGAGUUUGAUCCUGGCUCAGAACGUACGCUGGCGGCACGCCUAACACAUGCAAGUCGAACGAAGUAGCAAUACUUAGUGGCAGACGGGUGAGUAACAUGUAGGUAUCUGCCCUUUGGCCUGGAAUAACACGAGGAAACUUGUGCUAAUACCGGAUAAGUCUUUACGGAGAAAGCUUUAUGCACCAUUGGAUGAGCCUGCACUUGAUUAGUUUGUUGGUGGGGUAAUGGCCUACCAAGACUGUGAUCAAUAGCUGAUUUGAGAGGAUGAUCAGCCACAUUGGGACUGAGACACGGCCCAAACUCCUACGGGAGGCAGCAGUGGGGAAUCUUGCACAAUGGAGGAAACUCUGAUGCAGCGAUGCCGCGUGAGUGAAGAAGGCCUUUGGGUUGUAAAGCUCUUUCGUCGGGGAAGAAAAUGACUGUACCCGAAUAAGAAGGUCCGGCUAACUUCGUGCCAGCAGCCGCGGUAAUACGAAGGGACCUAGCGUAGUUCGGAAUUACUGGGCUUAAAGAGUUCGUAGGUGGUUGAAAAAGUUAGUGGUGAAAUCCCAGAGCUUAACUCUGGAACUGCCAUUAAAACUUUUCAGCUAGAGUAUGAUAGAGGAAAGCAGAAUUUCUAGUGUAGAGGUGAAAUUCGUAGAUAUUAGAAAGAAUACCAAUUGCGAAGGCAGCUUUCUGGAUCAUUACUGACACUGAGGAACGAAAGCAUGGGUAGCGAAGAGGAUUAGAUACCCUCGUAGUCCAUGCCGUAAACGAUGUGUGUUAGACGUUGGAAAUUUAUUUUCAGUGUCGCAGGGAAACCGAUAAACACACCGCCUGGGGAGUACGACCGCAAGGUUAAAACUCAAAUGAAUUGACGGGGACCCGCACAAGUAGUGGAGCAUAUGGUUUAAUUCGAAGAUACGCGCAGAACCUUACCAACACUUGACAUGUUCGUCGCGACUCUAAGAGAUUAGAGUUUUCGGUUCGGCCGGACGAAACACAGGUGCUGCAUGGCUGUCGUCAGCUCGUGUCGUGAGAUGUUGGGUUAAGUCCCGCAACGAGCGCAACCCUCACUUUUAGUUGCCAUCAUUAAGUUGGGCACUCUGAAAGAACUGCCAGUGAUAAGCUGGAGGAAGGUGGGGAUGACGUCAAGUCCUCAUGGCCCUUACGUGUUGGGCUACACACGUGCUACAAUGGUAUCUACAACAGGAAGCAAGACUGCGAAGUUAAGCAAAUCCCUAAAAGAUACCCCAGUUCGGAUUGCACUCUGCAACUCGAGUGCAUGAAGCUGGAAUUACUAGUAAUCGUGGAUCAGCGUGCCACGGUGAAUGCGUUCCCGGGUCUUGUACACACCGCCCGUCACACCAUGGGAGUUGGUUCUACCUUAAGGCAAGGUUUCAAACCCUUGACCACGGUAUAGUCAGCGACUGGGGUGAAGUCGUAACAAGGUA